UGUGGUUCCAAGAAGAAGACACAAGUUUUGGCUUGCUAUCAAGGUUUUUCAUUGUGUUUACGAGGAAGAUUGUGCAUGCAUCCAAGAAAAACCACAAGUCCAUUUCUUGUAACCACAAAGAUACUUCAAUGAUGUGUGGGUUUGUGCAACUGUGUGGUGGUGACUUAGAGAAUAAAGCUCUGGAUAUGAAAACAUCUGCCUGGUUUCUGCCGGACUGCCUGUAGUGGGUCAGACCAAAGUACAGCUAGCGUUAAGUCAUUAGCUGGUGAGGGUUCAGAAGCCAACCGCUCAGAUGGCUCCAGCUGGACGUUUUUAUACCCGGUUACUCGUUAACAAGGAUUUCUGGGAUCGUACACUCCCAAUUAUUGUGCAUGAACUUAAACUGACGUUUUCUGGUGUCUGAACUGCAUGACACUUGCACUUGGAAAGAGGAGACAUCAUAGCGUCACGUCAAUACACACCCAACCAACUAGCUAGUACCACUUACGUUGGGGCGGGAAUAUUUGAAUUGCAGUGUCAGUUAGCUAGAGAGAUCCCUAGAUCCGUAGACACCUCCGUAGAGAUCCACUCACUGCCUGUCCGCAACAUUAGCUGUGAUUUCAAUGAGAAGACUUCAAGACUUUCAACAAAGUCGACAUCGAAGGACUUCAAAAGAACCAUGGUCUAGGCACAAUUUACACAUCUCCUCUGCUACCUCCCAGGGAGGAGGAAUACCCUGAACUCCUCGUUCUCACAGGACUCGGGCUAGUACGCUGUUGCCAGGUCAGUCUUGGGGGUGACCCGGCUGAGACAUGUUGGAUACAACACUGGGUCGUUGACCAGCACUGCUGUCUCUUCCUCAGCCGGGGCAUGCAAAGCUCCCUGUUACCCAGAGGACCCCCAUGUACCUCCUCAGCUAUCACAUGGGUCGCCCACGUACCCCCCUACUGCCCCCUUAAUGAGCCCCAGGUCUACCCCACAUAUGCGAUACCACCCCCUUCACUCCAGGACGAGCAGCCCCCUCUGGCAGACCGGUACAGAGAGAAGGACAAGGACAGAGCGGGACAGGGAUUUGCACCACUCAGAGUGAGAGUGAGGGGAGAGGGGCUACAGAUGGGACAGCCUGGGCUCCAGAGAUGACCGCAGACACCGUAACCACCACUCACACAACCGUAGCAGCAGAGCAGCCAUGACAGCAGGAACAGAAACAGCGACUACUCCAACAGCUCCGAUCCCACCACACCCCUCUGCUUCCCCCACUGCACCCUCCCUCCCUCCUGCUGCCUCUGUGAUAGCCCAGGACUGUGGCCAGGAUGGCCCGGCCAAGCCCAAACGCCAUGUGUAUCUAGGGCUGUGCGAUGUGGCCAAAAUAUCAUAUAACUGUAUUUUUGAUGGCAUGUUGGUUUUUGAUGUUUCUGAAUACUAAUAAAGUUCUAAAUAUGCUUUA